GUUUAUGUAGCUAAAAUAAAGCACGGCACUGAAGAUGCCAUGAUGAGACUAAUACUCCCCACUAAACA
rnacentral:tRNA from 1 species